rnacentral:rRNA from 1 species
UUUGUUCAACGGCCGCGGUAUCCUAACCGUGCGAAGGUAGCGUAAUCACUUGUCUUUUAAAUGGGGACGGGUAUGAAUGGCAUCACGAGGGUUAUACUGUCUCCUUUUUCUAAUCAGUGAAACUAAUCUUCCCGUGAAGAAGCGGGAAUAAACAUAUAAGACGAGAAGACCCUAUGGAGCUUUAAACUUAAUAACAAAUACUAAGCUUACAUCAACCUUCAGAAUAUUAACCUUAAUUUUAGUAUUAUGAUUAUUAGUUUUAGGUUGGGGUGACCGCGGAGUAAAAAUUAACCUCCACAUUGAACGGGACCUGUCCCUGAGCCAAGAACUACGGCUCGAAGCACCAACAAAUUGACAUUAAUUGACCCAAUAUUUUGAUCAACGAACCAAGUUACCCUAGGGAUAACAGCGCAAUCCACUUCAAGAGCUCCUAUCGACAAGUGGGUUUACGACCUCGAUGUUGGAUCAGGGUAUCCCAGUGGUGCAGCCGCUACUAAAGGUUCGUUUGUUCAACGAUUAAAACCCU